GACGAACGCUGGCGGCGUGCUUAACACAUGCAAGUCGAACGGAAAGGCCCUGCGUUUGUUGGGUGCUCGAGUGGCGAACGGGUGAGUAACACGUGAGUAACCUGCCCUUGACUUUGGGAUAACUUCAGGAAACUGGGGCUAAUACCGGAUAGGAGCUCCUGCUGCAUGUUGGGGGUUGGAAAGUGUCGGCGGUUGGGGAUGGACUCGCGGCUUAUCAGCUUGUUGGUGGGGUAGUGGCUUACCAAGGCUUUGACGGGUAGCCGGCCUGAGAGGGUGACCGGCCACAUUGGGCCUGAGAUACGGCCCAGACUCCUACGGGAGGCAGCAGUGGGGAAUCUUGCACAAUGGGCGGACGCCUGAUGCAGCAACGCCGCGUGCGGGAUGCCGGCCUUCGGGUUGUAAACCGCUUUCGACUGUGACGAAGCGUGAGUGACGGUAAUGGGUAAAGAAGCACCGGCUAACUACGUG
rnacentral:rRNA from 1 species